GACUGAGACACGGCAAACUUAUAGCAGUCCUCCUGAGAAGAGGCAGCAUCCUCCACUGGCCGCAGAUAUUGCUGCACAGACGGAAACAAUAAGCAAAUAAAAAGAAGAAAACAUUCAAAUCAAAAUGAAGAUCUAUGUGAUUCAUUUCCUGCUAAAGAGCCCCCUGGCGGUUGAAGAAAAAGCCACACCGGGCUAUAAGCUGCUUGGUUCAAAGCGUAGGAAAAAAGCAGCGGCUUGUAGUCUGAAAAAUACGGAGCCAAACUUGGGCAGUUUCAAAUAAUUUACUCAGGACUGAUCUUCAUCGAUAGCGACACAAGGUAGAGGGAGAUCACUGGGAAGAUGUGCCAGGGUGUAGUUCCAGCCUGCCAGCAAACCAGCUGCUCCCCGAGCCAGAACCCAGAGGGAAACUGCUCCGUCUGCACAAAGAUGUUUAUUUGUUGUCCA